GAUGAAGAACGCAGCGAGAUGCGAUAAGUAAUGUGGAUUGCAGAAUUCAGUGAAUCAUCGAAUCUUUGAACGCACAUUGCGCCCCUUGGUAUUCCGAGGGGCAUGCCUGUUCGAGCGUCAUUAUAACCCUCAAGCUCAGCUUGGUGUUGGGGCCUGCUGCAGUGGCAGCCCUUAAAAUCAGUGGCGGCGCCAUCUGGCUCUAAGCGUAGUAAUUCUUCUCGCUAUGGAGUCCUGGUGGAUGCUUGCCAUCAACCCCCAAUUUUUCUAUGGUUGACCUCGGAUCAGGUAGGGAUACCCGCUGAACUUAAGCAUAUCAAUAAGCGGAGGA
rnacentral:misc_RNA from 1 species